rnacentral:lncRNA from 1 species
AAAUAUCUUAGUGGGGAGCGGACUGCGGCAAGUUUGGAGAGUGCAAUCUUAAUUGUCUCCUCCAUCGGCGAUCAAUUGCUAGAAAAUGAUAUCCUGUAGCAGAAAUCCAGCAGCCUUUGCCUUCUCGAUGCCCGAUAAGCCUGGGAAGGUUGAUCGCACCUUCCAUUUCCGGUCAACCAGGAAGACAACAGUGUACAAGUACUCACUUCCUAGCUGAAGAAUCUGUUUGGUACUCAAGUUUCAAGCUGGAGACUGAACUCUCAUCUUCUCUUUUCUCAUUCUGCUACUGCUUGUGUUGUGAUUCUCCUGGUUUCCAGUGCUCGAUCGAGAGGGGCAGCCACCGGAAUCAGAUGUUGCAGCGGAAAGAAAGGCCGAGAGGAUUCCGUGCCGAGGAACUACUAUGAACUGCUUGGGGUCUCUACUGAUUCCACCCCUCAGCAAAUCAAGGAUGCCUACCGGAGUUUACAGAAGAAACACCACCCAGAUAUCG